rnacentral:tRNA from 1 species
GCGAGCUUGGCCGAUUGGUUAGGCACUUGGUUUCCACCCAAGCAAUGCGUGUUCGAUUCACGUAGCUCGCU